GCCAAGCUCAACAGCCAGAACCUCUACUGCAUCAACGCUGAUGGCUCCCAGCUUCCUCUCUUCCGCAUGAACAUCAGUCAGUGUACCUUCCUGAGAUCAGCGUGAGCCACGUCAACCUGACCGUACGAGAGGGUGACAACGCUGUUAUCACUUGCAAUGGCUCUGGAUCACCCCUUCCUGAUGUGGACUGGAUAGUCACUGGGCUGCAGUCCAUCAACACUCACCAACCAAUCUGAACUGGACCAAUGUUCAUGCCAUCAACUUGACGCUGGUGAAUGUGACGAGUGAGGACAAUGGCUUCACCCUGACGUGCAUUGCAGAGAACGUGGUGGGCAUGAGCAAUGCCAGUGUUGCCCUCACUGUCUACAUCCCCCACGUGUGGUGAGCCUGGAGGAGCCUGAGCUGCGCCUGGAGCACUGCAUCGAGUUUGUGGUGCGUGGCAACCCCCCACCAACGCUGCACUGGCUGCACAAUGGGCAGCCUCUGCGGGAGUCCAAGAUCAUCCAUGUGGAAUACUACCAAGAGGGAGAGAUUUCCGAGGGCUGCCUGCUCUUCAACAAGCCCACCCACUACA
rnacentral:lncRNA from 1 species